AUUGAACGCUGGCGGCAGGCCUAACACAUGCAAGUCGAACGAGUGGCGGACGGGUGAGUAAUGUCGGGGAAACUGCCUGAUGGAGGGGGAUAACUACUGGAAACGGUAGCUACUACCGCAUACCAUCGGAUGUGCCCAGGUGGGAUUAGCUAGUAGGUGGGGUAAAGGCUCACCAAGGCGACGAUCCCUAGCUGGUCUGAGAGGGUGACCAGCCACACUGGGACUGAGACACGGUCCAGACUCCUACGGGAGGCAGCAGUGGGGAAUAUUGGGCAAUGGACGAAAGCCUGAUGGAGCAAUGCCGCGUGAAUGAAGAAGGUCUUCGGAUUGUAAAGUACUUUCAGCAGGGAGGCGGUACCCACAGAGAAAGCAACGGCUAACUCCGUGCCAGCAGCCGCGGUAAUUC
rnacentral:rRNA from 1 species